GCCCGAUGGAGGGGGAUAACUACUGGAAACGGUAGCUAAUACCGCAUAACGUCGCAAGACCAAAGAGGGGGACCUUCGGGCCUCUUGCCAUCGGAUGUGCCCAGAUGGGAUUAGCUAGUAGGUGGGGUAACGGCUCACCUAGGCGACGAUCCCUAGCUGGUCUGAGAGGAUGACCAGCCACACUGGAACUGAGACACGGUCCAGACUCCUACGGGAGGCAGCAGUGGGGAAUAUUGCACAAUGGGCGCAAGCCUGAUGCAGCCAUGCCGCGUGUAUGAAGAAGGCCUUCGGGUUGUAAAGUACUUUCAGCGAGGAGGAAGGCGUUGUGGUUAAUAACCGCAGUGAUUGACGUUACUCGCAGAAGAAGCACCGGCUAACUCCGUGCCAGCAGCCGCGGUAAUACGGAGGGUGCAAGCGUUAAUCGGAAUUACUGGGCGUAAAGCGCACGCAGGCGGUCUGUCAA
rnacentral:rRNA from 1 species